rnacentral:rRNA from 1 species
GAUGAACGCUGGCGGCGUGCCUAAUACAUGCAAGUCGAGCGAACAGACAAGGAGCUUGCUCCUUUGACGUUAGCGGCGGACGGGUGAGUAACACGUGGGUAACCUACCUAUAAGACUGGGAUAACUUCGGGAAACCGGAGCUAAUACCGGAUAAUAUUUCGAACCGCAUGGUUCGAUAGUGAAAGAUGGUUUUGCUAUCACUUAUAGAUGGACCCGCGCCGUAUUAGCUAGUUGGUAAGGUAACGGCUUACCAAGGCGACGAUACGUAGCCGACCUGAGAGGGUGAUCGGCCACACUGGAACUGAGACACGGUCCAGACUCCUACGGGAGGCAGCAGUAGGGAAUCUUCCGCAAUGGGCGAAAGCCUGACGGAGCAACGCCGCGUGAGUGAUGAAGGUCUUCGGAUCGUAAAACUCUGUUAUUAGGGAAGAACAUACGUGUAAGUAACUAUGCACGUCUUGACGGUACCUAAUCAGAAAGCCACGGCUAACUACGUGCCAGCAGCCGCGGUAAUACGUAGGUGGCAAGCGUUAUCCGGAAUUAUUGGGCGUAAAGCGCGCGUAGGCGGUUUUUUAAGUCUGAUGUGAAAGCCCACGGCUCAACCGUGGAGGGUCAUUGGAAACUGGAAAACUUGAGUGCAGAAGAGGAAAGUGGAAUUCCAUGUGUAGCGGUGAAAUGCGCAGAGAUAUGGAGGAACACCAGUGGCGAAGGCGACUUUCUGGUCUGUAACUGACGCUGAUGUGCGAAAGCGUGGGGAUCAAACAGGAUUAGAUACCCUGGUA